UGGACCAAUGAUGACAAAUGGUGGCAUUGGAGUUAUGGACGAUGAAUUACCAUGUGUCUGAAACUCUGAGGUCCAA
ensembl:snoRNA SNORD114-17 small nucleolar RNA, C/D box 114-17